rnacentral:rRNA from 1 species
ACUCCUACGGGAGGCAGCAGUGAGGAAUAUUGGGCAAUGGAGGCAACUCUGACCCAGCCAUGCCGCGUGCAGGAAGACGGUCCUAUGGAUUGUAAACUGCUUUUGUACGGGAAGAAACGCUAGUUCGUGAACUAGUUUGACGGUACCGUAAGAAUAAGGAUCGGCUAACUCCGUGCCAGCAGCCGCGGUAAUACGGAGGAUUCGAGCGUUAUCCGGAAUCAUUGGGGUUUAAAGGGUCCGUAGGCGGCUUUAUAAGUCAGUGGUGAAAUCUCCCAGCUCAACUGGGGAAACUGCCAUUGAUACUGUAAGGCUUGAAUUUUGUGAAGUAACUAGAAUAUGUAGUGUAGCGGUGAAAUGCUUAGAUAUUACAUGGAAUACCAAUUGCGAAGGCAGGUUACUAACAAACGAUUGACGCUGAUGGACGAAAGCGUGGGUAGCGAACAGGAUUAGAUACCCUGGUAGGUCAGU